UUUUUUUCUUUCAUUGUAACGCACGGGACAUGUUUGCUAGUAACAAGUAAAACUAUAAAUGUGAUAAAUACCAGUUGAAAAUACGACGAAACAAAAUGGAAUCUUAUCUAGUCUCAAUGGCGUCGUCUACAGUUCUUUUCGUACACAGGGGAGCUCCUAUGUCGCGCUUUCAGCGUCACUUGGGAAAGAGACACCAAUAGCG
rnacentral:lncRNA from 1 species